CCACACACGAUCCAAGAUCGACACUUAUUUGUGAACUGUUAAUGUUAUUAUUGAUUCUUUCUAAUUGGAAUCUUUGUUGCUGUUGUUGUUGUUUCUUCGGAGAUAACAGUGAUUGAAACGGAGUGACUAAGAAGAGGGGGUUGAUACUAUAUUACACCAAAAAAACAACCAAACAUGAAUUAUCAAUGGAACAUAAAUGUUAUGUCAAGUUCGUCUUGGUAUAACGCUAGAUUGAAAAUUGUAAA
rnacentral:misc_RNA from 1 species